AUUCCGGUUGAUCCUGCCGGAGGCCAUUGCUAUCGGAGUCCGAUUUAGCCAUGCUAGUCGCGCGGGUUCAGGCCCGCGGCAGAUAGCUCAGUAACACGUGGCCAAACUACCCUAUGGACGGAGAUAACCUCGGGAAACUGAGGCUAAUAUCCGAUACAGCUCGCAUGCUUGAGUGCAGCGAGCUGGAAACGUUCCGGCGCCAUAGGAUGUGGCUGCGGCCGAUUAGGUAGACGGUGGGGUAACGGCCCACCGUGCCGAUAAUCGGUACAGGUUGUGAGAGCAAGAGCCUGGAGACGGAAUCUGAGACAAGAUUCCGGGCCCUACGGGGCGCAGCAGGCGCGAAACCUUUACACUGCACGACAGUGCGAUAGGGGAACUCCGAGUGCGAGGGCAUAGAGCCCUCGCUUUUCCACACCGUAAGGUGGUGCGGGAACAAGUGCUGGGCAAGACCGGUGCCAGCCGCCGCGGUAAUACCGGCAGCACAAGUGAUGGCCGAUUUUAUUGGGCCUAAAGCGUCCGUAGCUGGCCGUGCAAGUCCGUCGGGAAAUCCAGUGGCUCAACCUCUGGGCUUCCGGCGGAAACUGCUCGGCUUGGGACCGGAAGACUCGAGGGGUACGUUCGGGGUAGGAGUGAAAUCCCGUAAUCCUGAACGGACCACCGAUGGCGAAAGCACCUCGAGAGCACGGAUCCGACAGUGAGGGACGAAAGCUAGGGUCUCGAACCGGAUUAGAUACCCGGGUAGUCCUAGCUGUUAACGAUGCCCGCUCGGUUCGGCGCAGGCUACGAGCCUGUGCCGCGCCUCAGUGAAGACGUAAGCGGGCCGCCUGGGAAGUACGUCCGCAAGGAUGAAACUUAAAGGAAUUGGCGGGGGAGCACUACAACCGGAGGAGCCUGCGGUUUAAUUGGACUCAACGCCGGACAUCUCACCAGCACCGACAACGGUAAUGAUGGUCAGGUUGAUGACCUUACCCGACGCCGUUGAGAGGAGGUGCAUGGCCGCCGUCAGCUCGUACCGUGAGGCAUCCUGUUAAGUCAGGCAACGAGCGAGACCCGCAUCCUUAAUUGCCAGCAGCACCCUUGUGGUGGCUGGGUACAUUAGGGAGACCGCCACGGCUAACGUGGAGGAAGGAACGGGCAACGGUAGGUCAGCAUGCCCCGAAUGUGCUGGGCAACACGCGGGCUACAAUGGCCGGGACAGUGGGAGGCUAAUCCGAGAGGAUACGCUAAUCCCCUAAACCCGGUCGUAGUUCGGAUUGAGGGCUGAAACUCGCCCUCAUGAAGCUGGAUUCGGUAGUAAUCGCGUGUCAGAAGCGCGCGGUGAAUACGUCCCUGCUCCUUGCACACACCGCCCGUCAAAUCACCCGAGUGGGGUCCGGAUGAGGCCAUCAUGCGAUGGUCGAAUCUGGGCUCCGCAAGGGGGAUUAAGUCGUAACAAGGUAGCCGUAGGGGAAUCUGCGGCUGGAUCACCUCCU
rnacentral:rRNA from 1 species